rnacentral:rRNA from 1 species
UGGGGAAUAUUGCACAAUGGGGGAAACCCUGAUGCAGCGACGCCGUGUGAGCGAAGAAGGUUUUCGAAUCGUAAAGCUCUGUCCUAUGAGAAGAUAAUGACGGUAUCAUAGGAGGAAGCCCCGGCUAAAUACGUGCCAGCAGCCGCGGUAAUACGUAUGGGGCGAGCGUUGUCCGGAAUUAUUGGGCGUAAAGGGUACGUAGGCGGUCUAUUAAGUCAGGUGUGAAAGCGUGAGGCUUAACCUCAUUAAGCACUUGAAACUGAUAGACUUGAGUGAAGGAGAGGAAAGUGGAAUUCCUCGUGUAGCGGUGAAAUGCGUAGAUAUUAGGAGGAAUACCGGUGGCGAAGGCGACUUUCUGGACUUUUACUGACGCUCAGGUACGAAAGCGUGGGGAGCAAACAGG